ACACUUUGAUGUACAAAAGUGACACCAUGAUCAGGAAGGUGGUUCUCCCAGGGCAAGGCUCAGCCAUUGCACUCCGGCUGUGUUGACCCCUGCGAUUUCCCCAAAUGUGGGAAACUCAACUGCAUAAUUUAUGGUAGUGGGGAACUGCGUUUGCACUUUCCCCUG